AUGGCCCUGGGAGACGACUCUCCGGCAUCCUACAUCCGCAUGGUGCACCAUCUGAUAGAGAAGUGCAUGACGUUCGGGAUGAGCAUGGAGGAGUGCAUGGAGGCGCUGUCCAAGCGCGCCGACGUUCAGCCGGUCGUCACCUCCACAGGUCGGCCGGUCUCAAAUCAAUUACUGCUCCCUCUGAUCAGCAGGAAUAUAUUUAUCUGUACUGACGCUGAGUUGGCGUGCUUGCAGUGUGGAAAGAGUUGGAGAAGGAGAACAAGGAGUUCUUCGACAGAUACAACAAGCAGUUGA
rnacentral:rRNA from 1 species